AUCCCUAGCUGUGACGUAGGUGUGAACAUAAUAAACAUAAUAAAAAACAAUAUAUAUAUGUAGCAACGCUUCUAUACAACGCCUAUAAAGUUCCUCUUUGAUAAAUAAUGUAACAUUAUUGUGUGUGAUGUAGAAUGGUAUUUUUUUUAUGUAAAUUAGUAUUGUUCUUGGCACUUAUUAUUUUGUAAUGUAGGUUCUGCUCAAUCUGUAAGAGAUGCGUGUCCUCAGAAAACAGACAUUGUGAAAUCUGCACAUCUUGUACCUCCAAGGAUGGCCGAGCGUGGAAACACUGUCACCUGUGUAAUAGAUGCGUGAAGCCGUCAUGGACACACUGUUCCUCUUGUGGGCGUUGUGCUCUUGAAGGUCAUUCCUGCGGCAGUAAGGUAGAAGGCUGUUUUGUGUGUGGAGACAAAGAUCAUAAACGCAACAGCUGUCCGCGCCAUAAAACAAAGCAAAAUCAGAGCAAACGAAGUCUAAAAAUAAGUGUAAAGAAGUCUUCACGGAUUCCAGCUCUUUGGAAGAA